rnacentral:rRNA from 1 species
GAUGAACGCUGGCGGCGUGCUUAACACAUGCAAGUCGAACGAUGAAGCCCAGCUUGCCGGGUGGUUUAGUGGCGAACGGGUGAGUAACACGGGAGUAACCUGCCCUUAACUCUGGGAUAAGCCUGGGAAACUGGGUCUAAUACCGGAUAGGAGCGUCCACCGCAUGGUGGGUGUUGGAAAGAUUUAUCGGUUUUGGAUGGACUCGCGGCCUAUCAGCUUUUUGGUGAGGUAAUGGCUCACGAAGGCGACGACGGGUAGCCGGCCUGAGAGGGUGACCGGCCACACUGGGACUGAGACACGGCCCAGACUCCUACGGGAGGCAGCAGUGGGGAAUAUUGCACAAUGGGCGCAAGCCUGAUGCAGCGACGCCGCGUGAGGGAUGACGGCCUUCGGGUUGUAAACCUCUUUCAGUAGGGAAGUAGCGAAAGUGACGGUACCUGCAGAAGAAGCACCGGCUAACUACGUG